rnacentral:rRNA from 1 species
AGGGUUUGAUCAUGGCUCAGGACGAACGCUGGCGGCAUGCCUAACACAUGCAAGUCGAACGAGAAAGUUCCUUCGGGAGCAAUUAAAGUGGCGCACGGGUGAGUAACGCGUAGACAAUCUGCCCUUCAGUCUGGGACAACUUUUCGAAAGGAGAGCUAAUACCGGAUAACAAUGCAUGACACAAGUUGUACAUUUGAAAGCUUUAUGUGCUGAAGGAGGGGUCUGCGUCCCAUUAGCUAGUUGGUAGGGUAAAGGCUUACCAAGGCAACGAUGGGUAGCGGGUUUGAGAGGACGAUCCGCCACACUGGAACUGAGACACGGUCCAGACUCCUACGGGAGGCAGCAGUGGGGAAUAUUGCACAAUGGAGGAAACUCUGAUGCAGCAAUGUCGCGUGAGUGAAGAAGGCCCUUGGGUCGUAAAGCUCUUUUAUGGGGGAAGAUGAUGACGGUACCCCAAGAAUAAGCACCGGCUAACUAUGUGCCAGCAGCCGCGGUAAUACAUAGGGUGCGAGCGUUGUUCGGAAUUACUGGGCGUAAAGGGCGCGCAGGCGGAAUAGUAAGUCGGAGGUGAAAGCCCGGGGCUCAACCCCGGAGGGUCUUUCGAAACUACUAAUCUAGAGAGGGUCAGGGGCCGGCAGAAUUCCUGGUGUAGAGGUGAAAUUCGUAGAUAUCAGGAGGAAUA